UAAAGAAGCAGAACACAAAGAAGAUCCUCUCAGAAGAAGAUACAGCUCAGCAUGUGCAUGAGAAGCAACAGCUAGUUUGUUUCAAAUUGGGAAGCCACUGGCGUAGGCCACUGUCAGUUUCAGGAUGAGAUGAACCUCUCGUCUACUUCGCUGUGUAUGGGAAUUCCUCUGAUGACUUUUGUGCAGGUGAAAAGCGCAAAAGAGCUGUCUCCCAGAGGCAAACAUGAGACCUGGGAGAUAUCUGUUGGACCCUGUUACUCUGGAGGAAGAAGAGGAGAUCUUCAAUCUUCACAGGCUGAGGUACAUCUCAUUUCCCCUCACCAGGGGAGUGCAAGAGGAAUUGGACUUGGGCUGAAUCCUAGGAGUUAGGAUGAAGAAGGCUAACACUGAGUAUUAGUUAUUUAGUACAGAGGCCAUUUAACAGAACACUGGACCCAAAUAAACGCCUGGUAUUUGCA